GCCUGCGGGGCCCGCUAAGGCGGGGUUCAGUCGACGCCUGGGCGCCUCCGAGGAGGCUGCCCACGAGGCCGGUGGGAUGCGGGCACUGGGGUGAGGCUCGUGUCACCUGGGCCCCCCCCCGCAGCCGGGGUAGCGGGGGACACGCCGCCUCCCUGCCGGGCAGCGCUGCGGGCCCAGCUAAAGCACGUGACUCGGGAGGUGACGGACGAACACCUUUGUCACGUCCUUCCCCCGUCCCCAGCCCGCGAUGCGCUGGUUGGCGGAGGGGGAUGGGACACAGGACAAUUGUAGCGGGUACCUGGCAACAUCUGUCCUGGCGGUGUGAAUAAAGUGAAAUGGGGAGGGGGGGCAGCAAUGAUGCACCAAACUUCUCUUGAGGUGCAGGGGGCCACUGGCUGUGGAUACAAUACAACUAGGGCUGGGGCUUCAGGUAGCAGCUAAAGUUGUCAAUAUUUCUUCUUCUUCUCCUGAGCUCCAUCAAGCAGCACUCUUGGCAGGAAGCCUGUAGGCAGUUGCAGAAAAGGGGUCAGGGACCCAACCAACCCACACUGGAAAAGGGGUGAUCUAAAGAAUCAUGCCAAUGUAGUUUACACAGUGGCUGCAAGGAGCAGAGGUGCCCGCAUGAUUGCAUGCUGCAACCAGUGCUUUGAAAAGGACACUUUCAUUGUUUCAAAUGGAAACUCCAUGCACAAACAACAUGAAUGAGAAUACAAUUGGGAUGACUGAUCAGACACCACCCUCCCAAAGACUUGAUCUUUAGAAUACUGCUUAGAACAAUUUAAAAGCAAUUGGUGUGGUAUCCAUGAAGAAAGAAGACUGAUCAGUGAGCUCAAACCAUCUCUGUGAGAUAGAAUUAUAUCCAGGACUGCCAACUAUGUUCAUAGUUGUGUCCACCCCAGAGACACAUGGAUAUGUGUCAUCUGUCUUGCAAAAUCCAUUGCUACACUUGGUGAUUUUGCAAGCUACAUGCACACAACUGAGAGCAAGACUGAGCAGUGUUUGGGUAUCAUGACUUAUCAGUCUGAAGUUUCUUAACAUUCAGUUGCAGAUAAUGUUUGCAAACUCAUUCUACGUAAGAAGUUUAGUCAUUCAUUAUUAUUUUCCUUGGCAAAGGAGCAGAAAUCCCCUUCCUGAAAACUCUUUACAUCCUCAUAUGUACUAUGUUGGUAAACUUAACAGAUUAAUCAGCAUGACUGUACAUUCUUCAACUUUAAAAUAUUUUAUAAAAAAAUUACAUAAAUACUUGUCUAUUAGGUUACCAACAACUUCAGAUUCCUUUAGCUUUAUGCUUUAAUAUAGUAUUUGGCAAAUUCAAAUUUUCUUUAAUUUCAACAGGUAAUAUAGAUGUUUAUUUUUAAGCAUUUAAAAUUACCUAUUUUAAUGUUCACAGUUGAAUAAAGCUAUUUUAACUCCUUUCUUUUAUUUUGCAGCCUAUGGGCCAGAUCUUCACCAGAUAUAAAUUGGCAUGCUCCAUUGAAUUCCAUGAAGUUAUAUCAAUUUACAGCAGCUGCGGAUCUGGCCCCAUACAUCUGUGACAUUAGUCUUGAUUCAGUGUAUAUGAGGAGUUUUGCAAUCGGCUUUAUAGUGUUCAUGCAAAAGUUGAAAGGUGAGAUUCUGUGUAUAAUAUAGAUAUUUUCUCAUUGACUGUCAAAGUCAAAUCAAUAAAGUGUUAAAAGUU